AGAGUUUGAUCCUGGCUCAGGAUGAACGCUGGCGGCGUGCCUAAUACAUGCAAGUCGAGCGAACAGAUAAGGAGCUUGCUCCUUUGACGUUAGCGGCGGACGGGUGAGUAACACGUGGGUAACCUACCUAUAAGACUGGAAUAACUCCGGGAAACCGGGGCUAAUGCCGGAUAACAUUUAGAACCGCAUGGUUCUAAAGUGAAAGAUGGUUUUGCUAUCACUUAUAGAUGGACCCGCGCCGUAUUAGCUAGUUGGUAAGGUAACGGCUUACCAAGGCAACGAUACGUAGCCGACCUGAGAGGGUGAUCGGCCACACUGGAACUGAGACACGGUCCAGACUCCUACGGGAGGCAGCAGUAGGGAAUCUUCCGCAAUGGGCGAAAGCCUGACGGAGCAACGCCGCGUGAGUGAUGAAGGUCUUCGGAUCGUAAAACUCUGUUAUUAGGGAAGAACAAAUGUGUAAGUAACUGUGCACGUCUUGACGGCACCUAAUCAGAAAGCCACGGCUAACUACGUG
rnacentral:rRNA from 1 species